rnacentral:tRNA from 1 species
ACUAAGGUGGCAGAUUUAUGCAAGAAAUUUAGAAUUUCUUUAAGGUUACAACCCUUUAGUU